CGUUCCCGGGUCUUGUACACACCGCCCGUCACACCAUGGGAGCGGGUUUUGCCAGAAGUAGGUAGCUUAACCGCAAGGGGGGCGCUUACCACGGUAGGAUUCGUGACUGGGGUG
rnacentral:rRNA from 1 species